GACCAGGGUUGGACAGGGUAUCUCCAGGACCAGGGUUGGACAGGGUCUCUCCAGGACCAGGGUUGGACAGGGUCUCUCCAGGACCAGGGUAUGGCAGGGUAUCUCCAGGACAUCUCCAGGACCAGGGUAGGACAGGGUAUCUCCCUGUUCUAGAUCCUCCAUUAAAACAUUGUAUUUUUAUGAACCUAUUUAAAAACGAGAAGAAGAAGAAGAAUCGAUGAGGAGGUGGUGAUUGUCUUGACCUAGGGGUUCUCAUUCAUUCCUACUUCCUGUACGUUUUGGGUUUUUGCCCAGCUACACAGCUGAUUCAAAUCAUCAAAGCUUGAUGAUGAGUUGGUCAUUUGAAUUGGCUAGGGCAAAAACACCAAAACGUACACCCGGGAGGGGAGGGAGUAGGAACGAAUGAGAGCCCCUAGGUCUAGAAGGGAUACAGCUUUUAUCAAAAUGUAGUUUUCGAAGCAGGUUGGAAGAAUUAACGUAGCAGGCUGGGAGAAUUAGGUUAAAUUACUUUGGACUUCAAUUCCACAAGCUGUAUCCCAUCUAGACAUGACUGUAGAUUUGGUUGUGCUUGAUGAGUAGACGCCAUUUUGUAUGGAUUUGUUGUCUCCCCCCUGCUUCAAUAUCUCUGUAUAACGGUAUGUUUUUAAAAUCAUGUUAAACUGCUAGAGGAGAUCAGUGGAAAUAAAAAUGUGAAAAUAUAAUUUCUA